rnacentral:rRNA from 1 species
CGGAGGGGCUAGCGUUGUUCGGAAUUACUGGGCGUAAAGCGCGCGUAGGCGGCUUUGUAAGUUAGAGGUGAAAGCCCAGAGCUUAACUCUGGAAUUGCCUUUAAGACUGCAUCGCUUGAAUCAUGGAGAGGUGAGUGGAAUUCCGAGUGUAGAGGUGAAAUUCGUAGAUAUUCGGAAGAACACCAGUGGCGAAGGCGACUCACUGGACAUGUAUUGACGCUGAGGUGCGAAAGCGUGGGGAGCAAACAGGAUU